rnacentral:lncRNA from 1 species
UAUGAUGUUCCAGUGUGAAGUCAAACUGUAAUACCGAGAUGACCUUUAAGAUGUUAACUUGUUAACCAAUACUUAAUGGCCACAACUUCCUCCAUUUCAAGAUCAUAGUGGCAAAAAGAAAAAAUGACGAGCCCAGUGGAUACCUAUGCACUACCUUGCAGCACCUUUCCUGACUUUCUCUUUUCUUACUGAAACGAAGAAUUUCUUUAAGGAAACCAAACCUUUUUAUGUUUGGAAGUGCUGAAAUUUUGCAGGGCUAGUAUACUAUAUUCCUCUUUUUAUUUUUGUAUAUUUGGAACUUAAAUUGCUGCCUUUAAGAUGCAAGCUGAUUUGACCGAUCUUCCUGUGCUGUGGCAAGCAAUAUUGCAUUUCUUUGUCAUUUAAUUGGAACACUAUCACAAAAUGGUUACAGAUUAAAACAUGGCCAAUACAAACAUGUUAGUGUUUGAAACAGAGUGUUACUAGUCAACUCUAGUAUGGUACCAGAGCUUAGGUUAGACACUCACCUUCUCAUCUUCCCCAACUCGAACUCCUCCUCUGCUUCUCUCUACCAUGGCGUCGACCUCUGCUGAGCGCCGGGCCAGGAAGGCCAAGGAAGCCGAGCUGGGCGAGAAGGCUGCGCGCCUGAAGGCAGCAGAGGAGGCUGUGGCGCAGGCUGUCCAGGCGGCUCAGCAGGCUGCAGCAGCCGCAGAGGCGGCGGCCAGGACGGCGCAGCAGCUGCGCGCAGAGAUAGUUGCAGAGAAGGGAGAAGAGGUGCUGGAGGAGGAAGAAAAAGAAGAGGAGGAAGUCAAGAGCCAGAGGACUCCACCGCGGGACAGGCGCCAUUCGCAGUCACCACUGCGUGACCGAAGGCGUCGUGGCGGCGCUCGCUAUGAGUCGCCGCAAGGCAGGGUGGUCUACCGCGACUCCGGCAGCGGCACAACGUGGCCAAUGCUGGACAAGACCAACUACUAUGAGUGGAGCCAGACGAUGAAGUUGAGGAUGCAAGCACGCGACCUCUGGGAUGCUGUUGAAGGAGGUCCAGUGCAGUAUCGCGAUGACAGGCGAGCCUUGGAGGUGAUUGUCGCGUCUGUACCUAAGGAGAUGGGGCUCCCGCUCCUUGACAAGGCGACAGCAAAGGAGGCAUGGGAUGCCAUCGCUGCAACUCGAAUCGGUGUGGACAGGGUCCGCCGAGCGACGUUGCAGCGGCUGCGUCGGGAGUGGGAGAACAUUGAUGUCAAGCCCGGCGAGCAGGUGGAAGAUUUUGCCCUGCGGCUGUCAACUCUGCACCAGCAGCUUGUGCUCCAUGGAGACAGAGACAUUGAUGAGGCGCGUGUCGUGGAAAAGUUUCUGCGCACAGUGCCAGCCAAAUACGCGCAGAUUGUUGUCGCCAUUGAGCAGUUCCUCGACUUCGAGGCGCUCACGCUUGAAGAGGUGACAGGAAGGCUCAAGGCGGUGGAUGACCGUGAAGCGCAAGCUGUGACAGAGCCUGUUUCCAUCAAUGGCAAGCUGCUGUACACUGAGGAGCAAUGGCGCGCGCGCUGGAAGAAAGAGAAGAAGGGCGGCGGGGAUGAUUCUGCUGGCUCUAGCUCAAAGAAUCAGCGCGGCGGCGGCCAAGGCGGCGGUGGUGGCCGCGGUCGCGGCGGCUGGCGAGGAAGGGGCCGUGGCGGCGGCCGCGGUGGUGGACGCUGUGGCGAUACCUGCCUCAAUUGUGGCCAGGAGGGCCACUGGGCAAGGGACUGCCCUCAUCCGCGCCGAGACAGAGAUGGUGACCGUGAUGGUGGCGGUGACCGCGGCGGCGACGGGGCAGAGGCCGUCGUGGCGCGGCCGCGGUGGCAAUCAAGGCCAGCACGCUGGUGGCCGAGGGGGCGCAGGCGGCGGUGACGGCGGCCACAAUGGCCCGUGUACAGUAUGCAGAAUGCGAGGAUGAUGGGGCUCUGUUUCUGGCGCAUGGGCUCGUUGACCUUGAUGAGUGCGCGCCGGCAUACACCUAUGCUGCUCAAGAGGUGAAUCUGGAAGAACCAAAAGCCCGCGCUUUCCUUGGUGCCAAUAGCGAUGAAGAAAAGGCAGAUGUGUGGUACCUUGAUUCAGGAGCUACACACCAUAUGACUGGACGGCGUGAGCUCUUUUCUGAUUUGAACACGGACGUGCGAGGCACGGUCCGAUUUGGAGAUGCGUCCAAGGUUGACAUCAAAGGCAUCGGAUCGAUUGCUUUCGAAGGAAGAACUGGUGAGCAUAGGGUGCUGCAGGGUGUGUACUAUAUACCAGCCCUGAAGAAUUCAAUUAUCAGUCUUGGUCAGCUUGACGAGACUGGUUCCAAGGUGGAGAUAUAUCACGGUGUGCUGCGUAUCUGGGAACACACUGGUCGUUUGAUUGCCAAGGUGAAGAGAGGGGCUAACAGAUUGUACACACUCCAACUUCAGGCAGCCCAGCCACUCUGUCUUGCAGCACGCAGAGGAGAUGUAGCGUGGCAGUGGCAUGAGAGGAUGGGGCACUUGAAUUUUGAUGCACUCCGCAGACUUGGGAAGGAAGAGAUGGCGCGUGGUGUCCCGGUGAUUGAUCAUGUUGAGCAGGUGUGUGACACCUGUGUCACCACCAAGAUGAGAAGGCGUCCGUUCCCGGCUGCGACACAGUACCGUGCCAAGCAGCCCCUUGAGCUGGUGCACGGUGAUCUUUGCGGGCCAGUGACACCUGCAACUCCUGGAGGAAACCGAUAUUUCCUGCUGCUCGUCGAUGACGCUAGCCGUUUCAUGUGGGCAGCGCUCAUACCAAGCAAGGACGCAGCAGCAGAGGCUAUCAAGCGCAUCAAGCUGAGCGCAGAGGCAGAAAGUGGCCAGAAGAUCAGAGUGCUCCGCACAGAUAAUGGCGGUGAGUUUACAGUUGCUGAUUUUGCUACCUACUGCGCAGAGCAAGGCAUCAAGAGACAUUUCAGCGCCCCCCACUCACCCCAGCAGAAUGGGGUCGUUGAGCGGCGUAAUCAGUCAGUGGUGGCUAUGGCAAGGGCACUGCUCAAGCAGCGAGGAUUGCCGGCCAGAUUUUGGGGGGAGGCUGUAAUGACAGCAGUUCACAUCCUGAACAGAUCACCGACACGUGCGCUGAAAGGAAUUACUCCCUAUGAGGCCUGGCAUGGACGCUCACCGACAUUGGGGCAUAUGAAGGUGUUUGGAUGUGUUGCCUAUACCAGAAAGCUUAGUCAGCUGCGCAAACUCGAUGAUCGCGGCGAGGCCGGCGUAUUCAUUGGUUAUGCAGAGGGAGCUAAGGCAUACAGGGUGUUUGAGCCUGUGAGCGGGCGUGUCAGGAUCAGCCGCGAUGUUGUUUUUGAUGAAGAGCGCGGUUGGGAUUGGUCUUCGCCGGAGUCCGGGACAUCGGCGCCAAACAGCAGUGAGUUCCAGGUUAAGUACGUCUGGUCGGAGGUGGUGAGUGAGCCUGCAACACCACCAUCGCCUCCGCCCCCAAACUCACCAAGAACACCCGUGCCAGGCAGUCCAGUCGGAGUUGAAGAAGUAGAGGAUGACGAUGUAGUGGCAAAUUCUGUUCCAGCAGCAACCGCAACGCCACCACCAUCCAGUCCCCAGAUUGAGCAUGCCACGCCUCUGGAAGAUGAUGAUGAUCGACUGGAUGCAUAUCACGACGAUGAACCUCUUCGUUACAGAACGGUAAGCAAUAUUAUUGGCCAGCAGCCCACACCACCACCUGCAACUCGCCUGUUCGCAGAACUGCAUCUAACGCACUCUGGCGAACUAACUUCGCAUACUGAAGCCAAGAGAGAUCCAGCGUGGUGCGAAGCAAUGAAAGAAGAACUGCGAUCAGUAGAGAGAAACAAGACCUGGGAGCUUGUGAAGCCUCCUGCUGGUCACCGUCCAAUCACCCUGAAGUGGGUGUUCAAAUUGAAGAAGGACGAACAUGGAAAUGUUAUCAAACACAAAGCCAGACUUGUUGCUCGUGGCUUUGUCCAGCAAGAAGGCGUGGAUUAUGAUGAUGCUUUCGCCCCUGUCGCACGCAUGGAAUCUGUUCGAGUCUUGUUGGCUCUGGCGGCACAGGAGGGUUGGUCUGUUCAUCAGAUGGACGUCAAGUCCGCAUUUCUGAAUGGAGACCUCAACGAGGAGGUAUAUGUGUAUCAGCCGCCUGGCUUUGCUGUUGCUGGACAAGAAGACAAGGUGUAUCGCUUGCGCAAAGCUCUGUAUGGCCUACGGCAAGCGCCAAGAGCAUGGAAUGCAAAGCUUGAUUCAACAUUGAAGAAGAAAGGUUUCAGGCAGAGCAACCAUGAAGCUGCAAUCUACAGGCGUGGUUCUGGAAAUUCUCUGUUGCUUGUCGGUGUGUAUGUGGAUGAUUUGAUCAUCACAGGGGCCAAGGAGCAGGAUGUUGAAGGCUUCAAGGCUGAAAUGAAAGCAACAUUUGAGAUGAGUGAUCUUGGCCUUCUAAGCUUCUAUCUGGGUAUUGAAGUACAGCAGAGCGCCAAUGGCAUCACUCUUCGACAGACCCACUAUGCUAAGAGAAUUCUGGAGCUGGGAGGAAUGGUGGACUGCAAUCCUGCAGCCACUCCUAUGGAGGAAAGGCUAAGAUUGAGCAAGAAAAGUACAGCCAAGGAAGUUGAUCCAACACAGUACAGGCAGCUGGUUGGAAGCCUGCGAUAUUUGGUUCAUACUCGACCUGACUUGGCAUUUGCAGUCGGGUUUGUGAGUAGAUUUCUGGAGAGGCCCACCAUAGAGCAUCAGCAGGCAGUGAAGCGUAUCCUUCGGUAUGUGGCAGGCAGUCUGGAGUAUGGCCUGCACUUCACCAAGGCAUCCAGUGAAGCCAGAUUCAUUGGCUACUGUGACUCAGACUUGGCUGGAGAUAUUGACUCAAGCAAGAGCACUACAGGUUGUCUAUUCUUCCUAGGCAACAAUCUGGUCAGUUGGCAGUCCAUUAAACAAAGAGUGGUUGCCUUAUCUAGCUGUGAAGCAGAGUAUGUUGCCAUGACUACUGCUGCAACACAGGCUCUGUGGCUGUCCAGGUUACUUGCUGAAUUGUUGGGAAAGAAAGUGGAAGUAGUAGAGCUGCGAGUGGAUAACAAAUCAGCAAUAGCACUUGCAAAGAACCCUGUCUUUCAUGACAGAAGCAAGCAUAUCAGGAUCAAACAACACUUCAUCAGAGAUUGUGUUGAAGAAGGCAGCAUCAAGACUGAGUUCGUCGCCACAAAUGAUCAACUGGCAGACAUUCUGACUAAGGCCUUAGGCAAGGCCAAGUUUGAAGACAUGAGAAGCAAGAUUGGGAUCAUGAAGAUCAAGGAUGGGGGAAGCAGGUCUUAGGGGGAGAACUGUAGAAGUUAAGCCCUGCUCCCAGUUAUCUCUUAGGUAUCUGUGCCUAAUUAUGUCUCUGCUAUUAAGGUCUUGGGCAGCACAAGUAACUGUGCAAGUACCCAGGCAGUUAGCUGUUUAGUUAAAGCUCUAAUGAGCCAUUAAUGUAAUCAAUGUGUGCUACUUAUCUCUAUAUAUGAAAGGGCUGUGUCGCCUGGGUGUGUUAUCCCUGGCUGAGAAAACACUCUGUACCUCCAACAUAGUACUCUAUGCACUCUCCCUCCCUCGCAAAAGAAGUACCCUAUGUACUUUAAACUUCAAAGAGUCAUGUUUGCUCAGUUGGUUGCUUAUUAUUUUUUUAUUUUUUUAAUCAUUUGCAGACAUGGAAGUGCAACAUUGGAC